rnacentral:rRNA from 1 species
UACGGAGGGUGCGAGCGUUGUCCGGAAUCAUUGGGCGUAAAGGGCGCGUAGGUGGCCCGGUCAGUCUUUGGUGAAAGCGCGGGGCUCAACCCUGCGUCGGCCAGGGAUACUGCCGCGGCUGGAGCACUGUAGAGGCAGGCGGAAUUCCGGGUGUAGCGGUGAAAUGCGUAGAUAUCGAGAGGAACACCAGAGGUGAAGACGGGUUGCUGGGCUGACACUGACGCUGAGGCGCGAAAGCCAGGGGAGCAAACGGG